CCAGCGCCAAACAGCAGUCACACGCAGCAGCGCAGAUGCCAGCAGCUCUCACAACAAACGCGUCUUGUUAGACAGGAAGAGAGAACAUGAGAAACACAUUCAAAUGCGUUGUACCCGUCGUUGGACAUCAUUUGAAGCCUUCAAGUUCCUAAGGAGAGCAAAACACGGGACGGAGAGUGCACGUGUGUGUGAAGCCGUGCAGCUUUUCUUUGCAGACUGCUGUCCCGAAAGCGUCGCAGGCAGAAAUAGCUCUAAGAGCGCGCCGUCGCCCCGCGGACCAGCUGCCAUGGCCUUGGUUCAGCCGCUGCCCGUCUCCGCUGACCACCUCAAGCCGGGCCCCGGCGGGUCGUCCCGCAGCCGCCGUUCCUCCGGCCACGCGUCCCCGGUGGGCCCCGCUGGGCCCCGGCCCCCGUCGCUAGAGGCGAUGGGCUCCGUCGGCAGCCUCAUCGCGCCCGGCCCCGCGCCCUACCACGACCGCCAGCGCCGCAC
ensembl:lncRNA